GCUCGUACUUCUUCCAGGGAUUAUGGAAACACCACAGCAGAAUCUUGUUGUUCCAGU
rnacentral:sRNA from 1 species